AACAUAGCCUUUAGCCCUAAAAAGUAUUAAAGGCGCUGCCUGCCCAGUGAACUAUUUAAACGGCCGCGGGAUCCUCCACCGUGCAAAGGUAGCAUAAUCACUUGUCUCCUAAAUAGAGACUAGUAUGAACGGCCACAUGAAGAUUUACCUGUCUCUUAUAGCUAAUCUAUGAAACUGAUCUCUCGGUACAAAAGCCGAAAUUUUAUCACAAGACGAAAAGACCCCGUGGAACUUUAACCGGCAAUCAUAACUAAUGAUCAACCCGCUUUUAGUUGGGGCAACUACGGAAAAAACACAACUUCCACAUAAACACCAGGUAGACAUACCUACCCCCACCACUCUGACCCAGUAAAACUGAGAAAAGAACCAAGCUACCCCGGGGAUAACAGCGCCAUCCUCUCUAAGAGUCCCCAUCGACGAGAGGGUUUACGACCUCGAUGUUGGAUCAGGGCCCCCAAACAGUGCAGCAGCUGUUAAUGGUUUGUUUGUUCAACAAUUAAUGCCCUACGUGAUCUGAGUUAAGACCGGAGCAAUCC
rnacentral:rRNA from 1 species